AAACUAACAAGGAUUCCCCUAGUAACGGCGAGUGAAGUGGGAAAAGCUCAACUUUGUAAUCUGGCUCUUUCAGAGUCCGAGUUGUAGUCUCGAGAAGUGAUAUUCGCGCCGGACCUUAGACAUGUCUGUUGGAAUGCAGUGUCAAAGAGGGUGAGAAUCCCGUACAUACUAAGGACGCCCGUGUGCAUUGUAAUACGCUCUCAAAGAGUCGAGUUGUUUGGGAAUGCAGCUCAAAUUGGGUGGUAAAUUCCAUCUAAAGCUAAAUAUUGGCGAGAGACCGAUAGCGAACAAGUACCGUGAGGGAAAGAUGAAAAGCACUUUGGAAAGAGAAUGAAACAGUAUGUGAAAUUGCUGGAAGGGAAACGAUUGAAGUUAGACUUGCGUUGGUGGUAUUCAGCCUUUCUUCGGACUGGUGUAUUUGCCGCCUUGUGCAGGCCAGCAUCGGUUUACUUUGUUGUAAAAGGGUUUUGAGAAUGUAGCUUCCUCGGAAGUGUUAUAGCUCUUUACUGGAUGCAAAAUCGUAGACCGAGGUACGCAGUGCGCCUUUUAGGCAAAGCCUCUUGGCUUAGAGCACUUUGGAUGCUGGUAGAAUAGCUUUAAACGAC
rnacentral:rRNA from 1 species